rnacentral:lncRNA from 1 species
CAUUUUAAGGUUAGGAAUUAGGAUUUAGGGUUUAAUAUUUUGCUGACGACGUUAAAAAUAUUUUUUUUUUGUAAUUACUACUACUUUUUUUUUAUCUUUUUAUUUUAAAAACAUAAUAUAACUUGACAAUAUUUUGUUUCCUUUUUUAAAACAUAUCGAAUAUGAAAUAACAAAAGGAUGAACCUCUAGAUUCACCAACCAAUAGGAUUGUCUUAUUUCAUAUUCGAUAUCUUUUAAAAAAAGAAACAAAAUAUUGUCAAAUUAUAUUAUGUUUUUAAAAUUAAAAGGUAAAAAGAAUUAAAUAAAAAAUAGUAGUAAUUACAAAAAAAAAUAUUUUUAACGUCGUCAGCUAAACAUUAAACCCUAAAUCCUAAUCCGUAAACCCUAAAUCCUAAACCUUUGGGUAAACCCUGACU